ACCUACACCGGCAGUUCAACCCGCCCCGCCAGAGCCGGAUUCCCAGCUAGAGCCACGGCUACCGACACCAGAGGGUUAUUCAGGCACGCAUUAACCCUCCGGUCCCGGUUCCCCCGCCGCCACGACUUGUUGAUGGGGAAACCACCUUUUCUGUCAAUCGUAUUUUGGACUCUAGAAGGAGGGGACGCGGAUUCCAGUACCUGGUGGACUGGGAGGGUUACGGCCCGGAGGAGAGAAGUUGGGUACCUGCUAGGGACAUUCUGGAUCACUCCCUUAUCGAUGAUUUCAAUCGACAGGUAAAUUCGCCUGGGAACGCCAAGAGGCGUUCCUAGGGGGGGGGGGGGUAUUGUCACGGUUCAUGAAUCCACUGCCUCCGUCUCUCUCUCUCUCUCUCUCUCUCUCUCUCCAGUGUUUGUGUGGGCGUGGUUUCCCAAUCUCGGCCUGAUUGUCUGCGCCAGCUGGAACCACUUAUCUUCCCUUUAUAUGUUCUGUUACCAGUGUUUCUUGUUGUCAGAUCGUUGUUUCUUCUCUGAGGUUGUGUCGUGUGUCCGUGCUCUUCUCUUGUGUGGAUUAUCUGCUGUGCUCCUUCCUACUCAUCCGGACACACUCCCCUGGUUUUCUCAGCACGUUAUGAUCGGAAGAUGCGCCCGAGUUCCUGGGUCGGAUUCCUUCUGAGUACAGUCUGUCUGUCAUGUUGCUGCUGUGAACUACAUUCAUUAAAACCAUCGUUGCUUGCA